UACGAAGGUGGCAAGCGUUGUUCGGAUUUACUGGGCGUACAGGGAGCGUAGGCGGUUGGAUAAGCCCUCCGUGAAAUCUCCAGGCUUAACCUGGAAAGUGCAGAGGGGACUGUUCAGCUAGAGGAUGGGAGAGGAGCGCGGAAUUCCCGGUGUAGCGGUGAAAUGCGUAGAGAUCGGGAGGAACACCAGUGGCGAAGGCGGCGAUCUGGGUCGAUACUGACGCUGAGGUGCGAAAGCGUGGGGAGCAAGCAGG
rnacentral:rRNA from 1 species